GACGAACGCUGGCGGCGUGCUUAACACAUGCAAGUCGAACGGAAAGGCCCUGCUUUUGUGGGGUGCUCGAGUGGCGAACGGGUGAGUAACACGUGAGUAACCUGCCCUUGACUUUGGGAUAACUUCAGGAAACUGGGGCUAAUACCGGAUAGGAGCUCCUGCUGCAUGGUGGGGGUUGGAAAGUUUCGGCGGUUGGGGAUGGACUCGCGGCUUAUCAGCUUGUUGGUGGGGUAGUGGCUUACCAAGGCUUGGACGGGUAGCCGGCCUGAGAGGGUGACCGGCCACAUUGGGACUGACAUACGGCCCAGACUCCUACGGGAGGCAGCAGUGGGGAAUAUUGCACAAUGGGCGGAAGCCUGAUGCAGCAACGCCGCGUGCGGGAUGACGGCCUUCGGGUUGUAAACCGCUUCCGCCUGUGACGAAGCGUGAGUGACGGUAAUGGGUAAAGAAGCACCGGCUAACUACGUG
rnacentral:rRNA from 1 species